GCUUCCUGGUUUUAAGGACCAAUGAGCGACUGAAUCCAAUAAUCCAAUGGAAUCUAGUCAAUCAAACGUUUUAAUUAAACAUGGUUGAUUUUUAUUUUAAGGCAACAAAAAAAGUUUAGCAAUUACUUCAAAAGACUGGAAACUGGGCACAGUGGCUCACACCUGUAAUCCCAGCACUUUGGGAGACUGAGGCGGGCAGAUCACCUGAGGUCAGGAGUUCAAAACCAGCCUGGACAACAUAAUGAAACCCCCUCUCUGCUAAAAAUAGAAAUUAGCUGGGCGUAGGGGCGUGGUGGUGCCUGCCUAUAAUCCCAGCUACUUGGGAGGCUGAGGCAGGAGAAUCACUUGAACAAGAGAGGCAGAGGCUGCAGUGAGCUGGCCUCACACUAUUGCACUCUAGCCUGGGCAACAGAGCAAGACUCUGUCUCGGAAAAAAAAAAAAAAAACACUAGAAAGUGAAAGACAGCAUUCUGGGAUCGUUUGUAUAGCUGGUUCCUAGAGAAGUUUCUCUGGUCCUGCAGAGCGCAGCAAACCACAGGGAGGAGGCGCAGCGUUCCCUCCUGAGCAGGCACCUGUCCCUGUGGCAUCACCCCAAGUGCCAUUCGCCACUGAUGACCGUUCUUCUCUUCCUCCGAGAGAGCAAGAGGGGAGGAUGAGGGCUGAGAAGUUUACCUCACUUGUUUAAAAAAAAGGCCUAGAAACUGAAAAUACCAUCACCCAGCUGCGUCUGCAGUCCUGCUUCUGUGAACACACAGGAACAUGGUUCUCUCUAGUUAAACUUGGGUAAUUUCACUCACUUGUUUUUGCCAGAGAAUAGCAGCUUCUUAAUGAAGAGAUCAGUCCCCCAGGCUUGGUCAAGGAUUUUGCUUUUCAGCCAAGUUCAUCACCAAGUGCUUUGGUGGUGACUGUCCUGGAGGCAGGAGGCCAGAGGUCCGCUCCGCACACAGGCAGAGCCCCGGCGUGGACGGGUGGGGCACAAAGCCCAGGGAACACAGGCCACGUCUGCCCAGAAAGCACCCUGUGUCCUUGAGGGGAGACGUCCGCCGCCGCCAGCCCUGAACCCAGACAGGCUGAGGGAAAUAUCGACAGACUUCCACAGGUCUUGAAUAUUAAUAGUGUUCAGAGGCCAAAGGAUCGCUUCAAGUGAAUUUUUCAGGUACAAAGACAAGGGAGGCACUGGGCAAGGAACUAUUUGUGACAUUAAACACAAAAGACUCGAAUCUGCAAUGCACAAGCCCCCAAUGUCUCUAAGCAA
rnacentral:lncRNA from 1 species